GGGCGGGGGCAGGGGGGCACUCACGAGAAGCCCGGCUGCGCUGAAUCCGAUUUAGGCAGGCAGGCAGGCAGGCCCCCCCCAGGUGGGGCGCUCUAGCUCGGUUUCCGGGAGGCGAUUCACCUGCCUAACCUGCCACCCAGCCCCUCCCCGAAGACCUGCCGCCAAGCCUGCAAGGAAUUACCGUCCAGGCCUGUAAUUCUUGCGCUCUGGGAGGCUGAGGCAGAGGGCGAGGCAGCGAGAGGCCUGACACUUCAGCUCCAACGCCUCACUCCAGCUUAUUCUGGACUUUUCUAAGUCCCACUGUACCCUUAGCCCCAGUCUUGACUCCUAUGCACGAGUCUAGCCCCUUAAGACCCAGCUGUGCCUCAAAAUCAGCCUCAGCCCCAGAGCCCAGCAUCCCUGAUACCCCAGACCUAGUUCCAGCUCCAUCGUGGGCGGCCCACCAUAGGCCCUUGGUUUAUUUUCCUGGAGACCUCUAGUGGGUUAGAGGCCUUCCAGGUAGGCAGCUGGAGCUCCCAGAAUAAACUCUUCUUGGAGAAGCUCCACAUCCCCUGACAAGCCAGAGCUUCCUUCAGCUGUGCGGGCUGCCCUCCACCUACCCUGUGAACUGAGUCCCUCUCCGCCAGAGUCCGGCCAACCCGAUUCCUUCAGCUGAGAUGCCCCCUCCGACCUGGCUGACUGCACUCACGGGCUGUGCUUCCUCGGUGUUCCGUCUACAUCCGCCCUUCUUUGUUCUUAAUUGUCCUUUGGUUAAUUAGCUUUCACCCCCACCCCCACCCCCGCGAUGUGUAUCUGCAGCCAGUUCAGGGUUAGCGCCGGUUUACUCGGCACGGAGAUCCCAGCAGCCAGCACUCGGUAGCCUGGACGUGCAGGGUCCUUGCUAAAUGUUCGCUGAGUGGCUGGCUAAAUAAAACUGUGAACUGA